rnacentral:misc_RNA from 1 species
UCAGCACACCUGGAAGCUCUA